AUGGAUUUCAUCAUAUAAACUCACAUUUAUUCACUAGAAUAGCAUACUUUUGUGUUUGAUCCCUAAAUAGAACCUAAAUGUGAAAACAUGCGUUUUUGUGCUUAAAUUAGUUAUUUUAAUCCCACUUUUAUGCCAUUCGAUGCCAUGACAUAUUUGAUGAGUGAUUUUAGGUCCUAAAGGCAAGUUUGGCAAGGCAAAAGUGGAAGGAAGCAUGUACAAAGGGAGAAAGCAUGAAGAAAACAAAGGAGAAGCACAC
rnacentral:lncRNA from 1 species